rnacentral:rRNA from 16 species
GGAUGCGAUCAUACCAGCACUAAAGCACCGGAUCCCAUCAGAACUCUGAAGUUAAGCGUGCUUGGGCGAGAGUAGUACUAGGAUGGGUGACCUCCAGGAUGGGUGAUCUCCUGGGAASWYMUCAUGUUGCAUUCC